rnacentral:rRNA from 1 species
CCUACGGGCGGCAGCAGUGAGGAAUAUUGGUCAAUGGACGCAAGUCUGAACCAGCCAUGCCGCGUGCAGGAAGACGGCUCUAUGAGUUGUAAACUGCUUUUGUACGAGGGUAAACGCAGAUACGCGUAUCUGUCUGAUAGUAUCGUACGAAUAAGGAUCGGCUAACUCCGUGCCAGCAGCCGCGGUAAUACGGAGGAUUCAAGCGUUAUCCGGAUUGAUUGGGUGUAAGGGGUGCGUAGGCGGUCGGACAAGUUAGAGGUGAAAGCCCCGGGCUCAACCUCGGAAUUGCCUGUGAUACUGUGUGGCUAGAGAGUAGGAGCGGCAGGCGGAAUUUAUGGUGUAGCGGUGAAAUGCGUAGAGAUCA